UACGGGGGGGGCAAGCGUUGUCCGGAUUUAUUGGGCGUAAAGCGCGCGUAGGCGGCGCGGUAUGUCGUGCGUGAAAUCUCCCGGCUUAACUGGGAGGGGCCGUGCGAAACUGCCGGGCUUGAGGUCGGAAGGGGAAAGUGGAAUUCCGGGUGUAGUGGUGGAAUACGUAGAUAUCCGGAGGAACACCAGCGGCGAAGGCGGCUUUCUGGUCCGAUACUGACGCUGAGGUGCGAAAGCGUGGGGAGCGAUCCGG
rnacentral:rRNA from 1 species